GGUUGCCAAGGCAACACCGGCAAUUUAUGACAUCAGAGGCUUGAGAUCUUUGGUUCUCAGGGGGCUAGAAAGAUUCAAGUUCCUGUCAGGCUGAAUGAACCUGGCCUCUUGCACAAGAUAGCUUCUGUCAUAUGAAUGAAAACGGCCACAUAAAGGAUCGUGCUGAAUCCAAAUAUGAUAAUAACAGGGGGGCCAGGAAGAAGAUGAACUAGAAAGUGAAGAAAAAGCCACUGAUAUCUAGAAUGACCUGAAGGAUGAGAGGCAACCAAGCAGGGUGGAGUUCAGAGUCCUAGAGAAUGUCCCCUUACAAAAUCAAAGUUGACAGUUAAUGGACAUAAUGGCCCUGACUGAUGAAGGGGUUAUAUGCCCCUGGAAGCCCAUUAAAUUGAUUUCUUGGCCUGUU